UUGUUUCCUCCGUCGACGACAGAGCUCCGUUCGUCUCCCCCUCAGUUUGACAGCCUCGCUCUGUCUUCUCUCCUCAAUCGCGUGCUUACUCUUCAGCAUUUACUCCUUAGUAGAAAUUGCCGACCACCGCCGCACCUUGAAGACCGCCGUGCUGUUCGUCGUGGUGGCCCGUCUCAGGCAACGACGACUACGUCGGUCGUGGCCUCAAAGACCUCCCGCCACCGCUGUGACUUGAAGCCCUCCUCCAUGCCAAUCAAGGAAUAUCGGCCACCGCUGUGCCUUGAAGAGGUACCCCCGGUUACCACAUGUCGAAGACCUCUCGGAGCACUUUGCCUACUUGCUUAA
rnacentral:misc_RNA from 1 species